rnacentral:rRNA from 1 species
GAUGAACGCUGGCGGCGUGCCUAAUACAUGCAAGUCGAGCGAACGGACGCGAAGCUUGCUUCUCUGAUGUUAGCGGCGGACGGGUGAGUAACACGUGGAUAACCUACCUAUAAGACUGGGAUAACUUCGGGAAACCGGAGCUAAUACCGGAUAAUAUUUUGAACCGCAUGGUUCAAAAGUGAAAGACGGUCUUGCUGUCACUUAUAGAUGGAUCCGUGCUGCAUUAGCUAGUUGGUAAGGUAACGGCUUACCAAGGCAACGAUGCAUAGCCGACCUGAGAGGGUGAUCGGCCACACUGGAACUGAGACACGGUCCAGACUCCUACGGGAGGCAGCAGUAGGGAAUCGUCCGCAAUGGGCGAAAGCCUGACGGAGCAACGCCGCGUGAGUGAUGAAGGUCUUCGGAUCGUAAAACUCUGUUAUUAGGGAAGAACAUAUGUGUAAGUAACUGUGCACAUCUUGACGGUACCUAAUCAGAAAGCCACGGCUAACUACGUG